rnacentral:rRNA from 1 species
UACGUAGGGCGCAAGCGUUGUCCGGAAUUAUUGGGCGUAAAGAGCUCGUAGGUGGUUUGUUACGUCUGCUGUGAAAACCUAGGGCUUAACCCUGGGCUUGCAGUGGAUACGGGCAGACUAGAGUUCGGUAGGGGAGACUGGAAUUCCUGGUGUAGCGGUGAAAUGCGCAGAUAUCAGGAGGAACACCGGUGGCGAAGGCGGGUCUCUGGGCCGAAACUGACGCUGAGGAGCGAAAGCGUGGGGGAGCAAACAGG